rnacentral:rRNA from 1 species
UACGUAGGUGACCAGCGUUGUCCGGAUUUACUGGGCGUAAGGAGCGCGCAGGCGGUCGUUCAAGUCGAGUGUGAAAGCCCCCGGCUCAACUGGGGAGGGUCAUUCGAUACUGAUCGACUGGAAGGCAGGAGAGGGAAGCGGAAUUCCCGGUGUAGUGGUGAAAUGCGUAGAUAUCGGGAGGAACACCAGUGGCGAAGGCGGCUUCCUGGCCUGUUCUUGACGCUGAGGCGCGAAAGCUAGGGGAGCAAACGGG